rnacentral:rRNA from 1 species
UGAAAGUGUCAGCGCGGGCCUCCCCUCACCGGGAGCGUCCGCCGUUGGGAGGAUGGGCUUACCGGCGAUCACUCSYCGGCGCCCCGCACUCCCGGGGCGUCUCGUUCUCUCUCAGAGUGGAGACGCACCAGGAGCGCACACGCUGGUACCCGAAAGAUGGUGAACUAUGCCUGGCCAGGACGAAGCCAGGGGAAACCCUGGUGGAGGUCCGAAGCGAUUCUGACGUGCAAAUCGAUCGUCUGAGCUGGGUAUAGGGGSGAAAGACCAAUCGAACCWUCUAGUAGCUGGUUCCCUCUGAAGUUUCCCUCRGGAUAGCUGGCUCUCGGGACGAGACGAGUCUCAUCCGGUAGAGCGAAUGAUUAGAGGUGAUGGGGUCGAAACGACUUCAACCUAUUCUCAAACUCCCAAUAGAUGAGAGCCCCGGCUUGCUUGAAAGUGAAGCCGCGGGAUUCGGAUCAGAGAUGCCAAGUGGGCCAAUUUUGGUAAGCAGA